rnacentral:rRNA from 1 species
AAAUUGAAGAGUUUGAUCAUGGCUCAGAUUGAACGCUGGCGGCAGGCCUAACACAUGCAAGUCGAACGGUAACAGGAAACAGCUUGCUGUUUCGCUGACGAGUGGCGGACGGGUGAGUAAUGUCUGGGAAACUGCCUGAUGGAGGGGGAUAACUACUGGAAACGGUAGCUAAUACCGCAUAACGUCGCAAGACCAAAGAGGGGGACCUUCGGGCCUCUUGCCAUCGGAUGUGCCCAGAUGGGAUUAGCUUGUUGGUGGGGUAACGGCUCACCAAGGCGACGAUCCCUAGCUGGUCUGAGAGGAUGACCAGCCACACUGGAACUGAGACACGGUCCAGACUCCUACGGGAGGCAGCAGUGGGGAAUAUUGCACAAUGGGCGCAAGCCUGAUGCAGCCAUGCCGCGUGUAUGAAGAAGGCCUUCGGGUUGUAAAGUACUUUCAGCGGGGAGGAAGGGAGUAAAGUUAAUACCUUUGCUCAUUGACGUUACCCGCAGAAGAAGCACCGGCUAACUCCGUGCCAGCAGCCGCGGUAAUACGGAGGGUGCAAGCGUUAAUCGGAAUUACUGGGCGUAA